GAUCAGUGUUCGGAUGCCAGUCAAAAGGAACGAGGACAACUGUCAUUCUCUUUAAGUAAUACUACGAAGAGGCAAGUAUAAUUUGAGAAACUCAUCCUGGCAAGUUUAAGUUUAUUCAAUCCAAUCACUCAGCGAGCAUCCCUAGGGUCGAGAAGCCUGUGCAUGGUCCUAUGAAAGGUGUAACCGAUACCAAGGAAUGUGACUGUCAUAACCUCAUCCUUAACAGGACCAGUAAAUGCUCUCAAGCUAUUGAAGUAAACUUACACAAUUUCUUGAGAAAGCUUUCUAUAUGGACCUUCAGUUUUUGUCUCUCC